UGGGGCGUCGCCAAGGGGUAAGGCAUCGGUUUUUGGUGCCGACAUUCGCAGGUUCGAAUCCUGCCGCCCCAA
rnacentral:tRNA from 1 species